CAGUAGCCGCGGUAAUACCGAGGGUGCGAGCGUUAAUCGGAUUUACUGGGCGUAAAGCGUGCGUAGGCGGCUUUUUAAGUCGGAUGUGAAAUCCCUGAGCUUAACUUAGGAAUUGCAUUCGAUACUGGGAAGCUAGAGUAUGGGAGAGGAUGGUAGAAUUCCAGGUGUAGCGGUGAAAUGCGUAGAGAUCUGGAGGAAUACCGAUGGCGAAGGCAGCCAUCUGGCCUAAUACUGACGCUGAGGUACGAAAGCAUGGGGAGCAAACAGGAUUAGAGACCCCAGUAGUCCCUGUCUCUUAUAC
rnacentral:rRNA from 1 species